rfam:Bradyrhizobium sp. BR 10245 contig62, whole genome shotgun sequence.
UCCCUGGUGGAAGUCCAGGCCGGCAAACUCUCGCUCCAGCCGGAAGUACUCGGAGCGGGUCAGGAGGCGACGAAUGACCUGAAGCACUCUGAGAAAAGGCCCCUUCUGGGGGUCAUCGGUCCGCGCGGGCCGCAACUUGC